AAGCUAAACAUGCUGAACAAUUGUAAUGUAUUAUUUUUAUGGUAUAGGCACAUGAACAUAAAAAUAUGAGAAAUAAAACAGCAGAAGCGACAAAAUGAAGACUAUCCUAAAAUAAAGAGCCAAGCUGAAUGUUUCCCAGAAUGAAUUCCUUUGUAGAUUUGAACCAUAAAAAUCUCCUACUUGAAGAAAAAAUAAAAGUGACUACUUGAGUUCAAGGAAAUAAUGUAGAUGUCCUACAACAAAUGGUAGAAAG
rnacentral:lncRNA from 10 species